AUCGACGAUCAUGACUAUGAUACGAAGAUGAAGAAGGUCCAUGACUUCAUUGGCGAAGGCGACAAGGUGAAGAUCACCCUGCGUUUCCGCGGCCGCGAACUCAGCCACCAGCAACUGGGCAUGAACCUGCUCCAGCGCGUGGCCGAAAACGUCCAGGAAAUCGCCAAGGUCGAAGCCUAUCCCCGCAUGGAAGGCCGCCAGAUGCUUAUGGUGCUCGCGCCGAAAUAAGGCUGCGACAUCGGAUGAAUUUUCGAAAAGGGCGGCGCCAUCAGGCGCCGCCCUUUUUCUUUUCCCGGCCAGUGCGGGACCGA
rnacentral:misc_RNA from 1 species